ACACUCAUGUUUCUCUUCAGAUCGUAUAAAUCUUUCGCCUUUUACUAAAGAUUUCCGUGGGGAGGAACAUCAUGAGUUUUACCCAAUUUUUUGUAGUCCUGCUCAUCAGCGGGGC